GUGGGGAAUAUUGGACAAUGGGCGAAAGCCUGAUCCAGCCAUGCCGCGUGUGUGAAGAAGGUCUUCGGAUUGUAAAGCACUUUAAGUUGGGAGGAAGGGCAGUAAGUUAAUACCUUGCUGUUUUGACGUUACCGACAGAAUAAGCACCGGCUAACUCUGUGCCAGCAGCCGCGGUAAUACAGAGGGUGCAAGCGUUAAUCGGAAUUACUGGGCGUAAAGCGCGCGUAGGUGGUUCGUUAAGUUGGAUGUGAAAGCCCCGGGCUCAACCUGGGAACUGCAUCCAAAACUGUCGAGCUAGAGUACGGUAGAGGGUGGUGGAAUUUCCUGUGUAGCGGUGAAAUGCGUAGAUAUAGGAAGGAACACCAGUGGCGAAGGCGACCACCUGGACUGAUACUGACACUGAGGUGCGAAAGCGUGGGGAGCAAACAGGAUUAGAUACCCCGGUAGUCC
rnacentral:rRNA from 1 species